UACAGAGGUCUCAACCGUUGUUCGGAUUCAUUGGGCGUAAAGGGUGCGUAGGCGGCGCGGUAAGUCGGGUGUGAAAUCUUGGAGCUUAACUCCGAAACUGCAUUCGAUACUGCCGUGCUUGAGGACUGGAGAGGAGACUGGAAUUUACGGUGUAGCGGUGAAAUGCGUAGAUAUCGUAAGGAAGACCAGUGGCGAAGGCGGUUCUCUGGGACGGUACUGACGCUGAGACGCGAAAGCGUGGGGAGCGAACAGG
rnacentral:rRNA from 1 species